rnacentral:pre_miRNA from 1 species
AAUAUAAUUGCUGGGUGAUAUGGUAAGAGUAUAUUUACUUUUGUGAGAAUCUUCCAAACUGUCUCCCAAAGUGGCUGUACCAUUUUGCAUCCCCACCAGCAAA